AGGUGGUACAGAACGCAUCUAUCCCCUUAGAAGAAAAGAAAUUAAAAGCCAAACUAAACUGGGAUAUAUAUUAAUAUAGGAAAGUACCACUGAGACGUAGGAAAGUGUAUUAAAAUAUAACCAGUGAGGUGCUAUGUAUAAUUCAGAGGAAGGGGAAAUUAUACAUGGGCCAGACUACUGACAAAAGGCUCCAAAGCCUGGGAUACGCUUGAGGGCCUUUCCAUAACACAAAAUGAAAAGGAACCUAAAUUUGAGACUAGAUUUGAGGAAAAGCACAGUUCCGCUGCAGUAGAAAGCGUCUGUCUACCGCAGUGGAAAGUAAGUUUUCGUAAAUGCAGACUAGCUCCAGGGUGAGGACAGAAUCUAGCUUUUAAAUCAGUAUAAUCUCUCUUCUUUUACAUUUGAAAAUCUCUGCCGCGAUAUGUUAUUGUAUCCCCAGCACCAUACAAAGGACGUACAAGGGCCAAAUACUGUGGGAAUAUUUAUUAAUGAUAUUAAUGAUGAUGCUGUCCGGGCCAAGGGAAAACUUCCGCUUUACCUUCUGAAGUUUCGCUGAAAGUCACUGACAGGAGGCACUUAAUAGGAGAAAAGACAUAGACAUUGAUUUGACCAUCGUUUUAUGUGACACGGGAGCCUUCAGAAUGAAGACCCAAAGAUAACAAGGGAAAUCGUGUAUUUGUAUGCUUAGGUUCAACAAAGCAUGGACAGCCGUAUAAAAAAAUGACAAGGCCGGGCGCGGUGGCUCACGCCUGUAAUCCCAGCACUUUGGGAGGCUGAGGCGGGCGGAUCACAAGGUCAGGAGAUCGAGACCAUCCUGGCUAACACAGUGAAACCCCGUCUCUACUAAAAAUACUAAAAAUUAGCCAGGCGUGGUGGCGGGCGCCUGUAGUCCCAGCUACUCAGGAGGCUAAGGCAGGAGAAUGUCGUGAACCCGGGAGGCGGAGCUUGCAGUGAGCCGAGAUUGCGCCACCGCACUCCAGCCUGGGCGACAGAGCGAGACUCCGUCUCAAAAAAAAAAUGACUGGACAAAUAACACUCUGAUGCAAACAGGCAAGAAAACCCAGCAAGGCCUAUCUAGAUUCUCCUUGGCCUGUCUGCAGCAUUCAUUCCUUCUGGGUACGGAACAGGACCCUCUGGAAUGGGGGCUGUGGCCUACAACAGUUAAACAAGUGAACUAAAGGGCUCCCAAGAUCUCUCCUGCAGCAUUUUCCUUGAGAAGGAGGAAGCUUUGCAUCUCUGUGAGAAGAAACAUCAGAAGCAGUUGAAAGACCAGGAUGUGGGUCCUCCAGGGAAAUAUCUCUCUGGGAACAGUGUGGAAGAUGGAUUGGAAUGGUGUAAAAUUGAAGAUGUGGACUCCGGUUGGGAGACUAUACCCUAGAUAAGAUGAAGAGAACUUGAAGCAAGACAAUAGCAAUGGGAAUAUAAAGGAGAGGAAACAUUUGAGUGAAAUUAAGGAAGCACAAUCUGCAGACUGUUUUCUUUUUUUUAAGAGUCAGGAUCUCCCUAUUUUGCCCAGGCUGGUCUCAAAGUCCUAGGCUCAAGCGACCCACCUACCUCAGCCUUCCAAAAUGCUGGAAUUACAGGGGUGAACUGCCUCACCAUGCCUCAGUCUGCAGAAUUUGAUGACUGAAUGUAUUUGGAGAGAGUCUGUGGCUUGGAUGACUGGGUGAGUGGAUUGUGAUGCCGUUCAUGGAAAUGAAGAAGGCAGGGGAAGGGAGGAGCAAGAGGGUGGAAGUGGGGCAGUGGGGUG